rnacentral:lncRNA from 1 species
CCAGCAUAUAUAACACCUGCAAUGUGCUCAGAGGUGUUUUACUUUUUGUUUCGCUUCAAAUGAAUGAAUGACACUACUUUAAGUCAUGUCUCUUAAAACAAGAGAAAUGAAAACCAAAUUUAGAAGCCAAAGUUUUAAGAAUUCCACCUGUUGAUUUCAGGUUUGGCUCCUACUCAAGUCUUUCUAGCCUGCAGAAAUAGAUUUUAGACUUGCCAGCUCCACAAUCACAAGACAAUUUUUUCACUAAAUCAAUAUCUAUCUAUCUAUCUAUCUAUCUCUCCCCUCCUCCCUCUUCUUUUCCCCUACUGUUGUUUCUCUGGUACAAUCUGGAUUGAAAAUGACUGAAUUGAAAAUCUUCUAUGACUGCUGAUUUCUACUAGCACUAGACAACAUUCUGGAGAUCUACAAAACACUUAAAGUACAGUAAGUGUCAGUUGGCACCCAUCCCCAAGAUGUUCAGACCUGUGAACAACUUCCCUUGUUUUGUUGAACACUAUGACAACCUUCUACUUAAACUUUUCUUGGGCUCCCUACCCCUGCUUCAUUAACUAGAUGCACCAUGCAGGUUCCUUGCCCAGUUUGGCAAGGAGACUAUGUAUAAGUUGGCCAUCUUGCUAGGGAUGCCCUCCCUCCUGCGCCACACCUGCUACUCAGAAGCACCUGUGUUCCACUGUCUUAAAAAAAAAGGGGGGGGGGGUAAGGGAGAUUUUUUAAAGCAUAAAAUAGUAAAAUACAUAAAUUGAAUUCAGAGCCAAAAUUCCUUAGUCUAUUUCAAAAUCUAAAGAAAUCUGAAAAAUAAAAUAUUUUCAAGUAUGUCUGCUACAAACUACUGGUGGCAAAACCUGACCUGAAUCUAUAUGAAGCUCUUUAUCAGACUUAUGUAUUCAAGUGUGGAUAUUCAUAGGCUUUCUGGAAAUAUUAGUAGGUUUGAUC